UACAGAGGUCUCAAGCGUUGUUCGGAUUCAUUGGGCGUAAAGGGCGCGUAGGCGGUCGUGACAAGUCACUUGUGAAAUCUCCGGGCUUAACUCGGAACGGUCAAGUGAUACUGUCGGACUAGAGUACAGAAGGGGCAACUGGAAUUCUCGGUGUAGCGGUGAAAUGCGUAGAUAUCGAGAGGAACACCUGCGGCGAAGGCGGGUUGCUGGGCUGAUACUGACGCUGAGGCGCGAA
rnacentral:rRNA from 1 species